UACGAAGGGGGCUAGCGUUGCUCGGAAUUACUGGGCGUAAAGGGCGCGUAGGCGGCGUGUCAAGUCGAUUGUGAAUCUCCGGGCUUAACUCGGAACGGCCAAUCGAUACUGACGUGCUAGAGUGCAGAAAGGGCAAUCGGAAUUCUUGGUGUAGCGGUGAAAUGCGUAGAUAUCAAGAGGAACACCUGAGGCGAAGGCGGGUUGCUAGGCUGACACUGACGCUGAGUGCGCGAAAGCCAGGGGAGCAAACGGG
rnacentral:rRNA from 1 species